rnacentral:miRNA from 1 species
UGAGUAUUACAUCAGGUAUUGAA